GCAUAUCAAUAAGCGGAGGAAAAGAAACCAACAGGGAUUGCCCCAGUAACGGCGAGUGAAGCGGCAACAGCUCAAAUUUGAAAUCUGGCCCCUAGGGUCCGAGUUGUAAUUUGUAGAGGAUGCUUUUGGUGAGGUGCCGCCCGAGUUCCCUGGAACGGGACGCCACAGAGGGUGAGAGCCCCGUCUGGCUGGCCACCGAGCCUCUGUAAAGCUCCUUCGACGAGUCGAGUAGUUUGGGAAUGCUGCUCAAAAUGGGAGGUAUAUGUCUUCUAAAGCUAAAUAUUGGCCAGAGACCGAUAGCGCACAAGUAGAGUGAUCGAAAGAUGAAAAGCACCUUGAAAAGAGGGUUAAAUAGUACGUGAAAUUGUUGAAAGGGAAGCGCUUGUGACCAGACUUGGGCGCGGCGGAUCAUCCGGGGUUCUCUCCGGUGCACUUCGCCGCGUCUAGGCCAGCAUCAGUUCGUCGCGGGGGAAAAAGGCUUCGGGAACGUGGCUCCUCCGGGAGUGUUAUAGCCCGUUGCAUAAUACCCUGCGGUGGACUGAGGACCGCGCAUCUGCAAGGAUGCUGGCGUAAUGGUCACCAGCGACCCGUCUUGAAACACGGACC
rnacentral:rRNA from 2 species